AUACGUAGGUGGCAAGCGUUGUCCGGAAUUAUUGGGCGUAAAGCGCAUGUAGGCGGUGCCUUAAGUCUGUCGUGAAACUGCGGGGCCUAACCCCGUCUGGCGAUGGAAACUGUGGCACUUGAGGGCAGGAGAGGAAAGGGGAACUCCCAGUGUAGCGGGGAAAUGCGUAGAUAUUGGGAAGAACACCGGUGGCGAAGGCGCCUUUCUGGACUGUGUCUGACGCUGAGAUGCGAAAGCCAGGGUAGCGAACGGGAUUAGAUACCCCGGUAGUCCUGGCCGUAAACGAUGGGUACUAGGUGUGGGAGGUAUCGACCCCUUCCGUGCCGGAGUUAACGCAAUAAGUACCCCGCCUGGGGAGUACGGCCGCAAGGCUUAAACUCAAAUGAAUUGACGGGG
rnacentral:rRNA from 1 species